UACGUAGGUGGCGAGCGUUAUCCGGAAUGAUUGGGCGUAAAGGGUGCGUAGGCGGCCUGCUAAGUCUGGAGUGAAAGGUACCGGCUCAACCGGUACAGGCUCUGGAAACUGGCGGGCUAGAGAGCAGGAGAGGGCGGUGGAACUCCAUGUGUAGCGGUAAAAUGCGUAGAUAUAUGGAAGAACACCAGUGGCGAAGGCGGCUUGCUGGGCUUUUACUGACGCUGAGGCUCGAAAGUGUGGGGAGCAACAGG
rnacentral:rRNA from 1 species